CCUAGCGCUUCCUGAGGACUCCAAGCACUGCAGCAGACACCACAAUCACCGAACCAGAGAAGCGUAUGCCUUCUCUCAAGCAUAUGAAUGCUGUAGACAGUUGAAUAGGAACCAUACGAAUAGGUUUACUCUCCUAGCAGUCAAACUGGAACAGCAUACAAUGAAUCCUUCCCCCAAUAAUGAGACGGCACUUCACUUUGAGGGUUAAAACAGGAACUCUCUGUACUGGCACAUACAGCCUCUUUUAUUCACAAUCCACAAAACAUAGUACUGCCCACAGGGUUUUGCAGAACCACCAAUAAACAC